CAUUUAAUUGAAAGAUUCUGACUUGCUAUUACCUCUUUAUUGUUCUGCAGACCCGAGAAAUUGACGUCCUUCAUGGUAGGGUUUUGCAAAGGGGCAAAACCAAAGGGGUAGAGCCCUAAGCCGGAGGUAAAGCCAUCAUCUUUCUUUGACAUUUAUUCCUUCUUCGUUGUCCAAUUCUUCUUCCACUUGCGCAACUCAUGGUUAUCAUUUGAAUUCCCCAGUUCCUUUUGCUUUCUGGGACAGCAAUUUUUCUUAUCGCAUUGAAUGUCCGCACGGUCUUAUUUGGAUUGACAAGUGUUCUGCCUUCAAUUUUGUCUUUUGUUUCUCUGCGGUCCAAUCUGGUUCUCAUUAACCUGUGAAGCAUUUGUCUUUAUCUCAUUGAUGAAGUUAGUUUCACAGAUCACCAUUUCUUAUUUUUCUUUUUUAAGUUUUUACUGUGGUUUUUAUGUUGUGCUCCCUAUUUUACUAAAGUCGGAUCAUUUUAUCUUAUGAUUCGAUUUUCUUUUUUUCAUUUUAAUGUUAGCCAAUGAUGAUGGAUAUGGGCAUGAACCCCCAACAACAGUUGCGCACUGUGUUGUUGUUGGCAAGGAUGAGUGUGCCAAAACGCUGAUCUGAGGCUCUAGCUGGCUUAGUCUGAGCAUUUUUCAUAUUUUCUGGUCGAUUCAAUGAACAUUUAUCCAUAGUGGUUAGACUACUUGUUCUCUUUGCAGACGCUUCCCACCAACAAUUGACAUUGUAGGUAGGAAUUAUUAUACUAACCCACUUGUUUGGAAAUUGCAACUAGUUAGUAGUUUUGGUUUUUCAGUUUUAGUUUCAAGUUUUUUUUUCGUAAAUCAUCUACAUCGUCUCACCCAUGUGAUCAGAUUGAUAUGGUUAAGGACAGCCUUCAAGUUGUGUCCUUUUGUCCUUUGGUGUUGACAAAUCUGUUUGAAUAUCCCAUAUAUGAUAGGCCAUGUAUCAGAAGGUACCUUGAAAGAUGAAGAAGCAACUGAAGGGUUUGGUUGGCCUAUGUAGUUUUUGCUAGAUGAUUACCUGUUUUCUGUCUUUUCUAAUUGCUCUCUUGAGGAAGCGAAACAUCCCACAAUGAUGGGAAAUGUGUCACCCUAGAUUCUCUUUGGAGCACUCUUUUUCUUUUUAUAAUCUGAAGACUCCCUGUUGCAGUGAGAUAUAUGAUGGAUUUGAUAAUGUCACCCCAAGAUAUCCUAUAUAAAAUGUGAUGUAAUUGUGCCAUUUUAUAACCAAUAAUGCUUGUUUGAUGGUAUUCUGCGUCUAUGUCAAAUCAUACCAAUAUAUUUAUGCAUUUCAUUCGUUUUAAUUUUGGGCAUUUUCAGUUGACCUGUAUUUUCUGGAUUGAGCUUUGAGCAUGCUAACGAUCUACAUGUGUGGAUAUAUUGGACACUUAUUUUUAUUUUUUUUAAUUCCAUCAACGAUCUCAGAGAGAAUGGUCCUUAGACCUUGAUCAUGACAGAGAGAAAUUACUGUUCCUGUCUUAUCUAUGGCGACUUAACAGUCUUUCUCAAUUUUUUUACUUCAUGUCUUUUACCUCAAAAUGCAUGCUCAGAAUAUUGAUAUCCUCAAGUGUAAAAAGUUCAAUGGCAUGAGCCACUUGAUGAUAAGUUGCUGGCAAAUCAUGCAUCAGCUGAUAUGUACCAGCACAACUGGCACAUGCAAUCUUGAUUUGAAUCACUGAAAAACACACUUCAAAAUUGAAAAUGCGAAAAAAAAAGUCAUAUAAGGUGUAGUUGACUUUCAUCCUGGAAUCUUCAAUCGUGUAUUGCCCAGUUACUUAUACGUAUGUAUGUGGUACAUACAAUAUUAGGACCCUGUAUUGGCAAACUAGUGAUUUAGGUAUAUUUAUGUUUUCCGUAGCAUGAAUAUAAUAUUAAGUAUUGACUGAAUUGGAAUCUUGUUUCUGAAAUAACUACAGCCACUGUUUUUUGCUAAGACAUCCAUGUUACUGCAUCAAUAACAGUAAUUUGGUUUUACUUGCUGCCUUCAUUAGGUAUAGGGGCUAUCUGCAAUGUCUUGCUGUUCUGUUUCUUCUGCACUUGACGAAGUCCUCAGAGUUAUUUUCAGCUUGCUGAGUAUAUUCUUAUUGGAAGAAAAUUUUCAUUUUUGAUUAAUGUUGUGCCUGGUUUUACUGAAUUCAAACAUUCUGCAGUGGGCAGAGCCAGUGUUAUCACCUGAUUUUGCUCUGUAUAACUAGGUAGUUUUGGUCCAAAACCAAUUACCACCUAGUAUCAGAAAAAACUGCCAAAGAAUUGGGUGGUAUUUUCACUUCCCAUUCCACUUCAGCAUAGACUGGUCCAGGCUGACCUCUUCAGACCAGGCCAGGUUAUAAGUGAACGUUAUUUGCCAUCUCUACGGUUCAACUGCUGGCUGCAGCAACUUUUCAUCUGUUUUGUUUUCGCCAAAACUGGCACAAUGCAGGGAAAAGGAGAAGUGAAGAAGAAGAGGAAAAGAGGAGCCAGAGAAGAUGACAUGAAUGGGUGGAAGAAAAAGAAGAUGAAGGAUUGUUAGAGAACUAGAUGGAAUUCUUAAAGGCUUCUUAUCAACGAAGCUUCUGCACAUAUACAUUAAACUGGACCCGCAUAUUCUCACAAUAAUAUUCAACUUCUAUAGUACUUUCUCAGUGUCUCUGUUUUAUUCCAGCAGAUGGGCAGGAUGUAUCAUUUUCCGGGAAGUUUCGAGGUUCAAAACUAAAAGGGAGGCUGGACAUGGCCAUGCUUAAAGUUAUCUCACAUUUCUUGACAUCAAGUGGUAUUUUUUUGGUGGUCCUUACCGCAUCCUAUUGUACAAAAUCUAUCACCAAGAUACUCCUUGCCUGCAACAUGUUCAAUGACCUUUGCUGCUGCUUCAAGACUGUUGUUUGAUGCCUGGAAUUCUUCUUCCCCUUCCUAUUCUGCCCACUGCUUUGCAUUUCUAGAUCCCACACAAGGUAUCUGGUGCAUAAACUAAAGGCACUUAAUGUGCUCCCUUAUGCAUGUGAUCUGGUGAAAGCCACGUUGAUUCAGAUACAGCAGAUGUUGUUCAAAGGCUUAGAAAAGGCAGGAGACAAGCGGCAUGAGCAACACAGAAAAUGGGAACAUGGCCAUGUACUGGCGCCUACUUCAGUGGACCUACAUCAGAUCAAGAAAGAACAUCCAAGAACAUGAAUGCAAACCACAAACCAGGUACAAUGGUACGAUGGUGGUGGUUCUUUCACUGAUUGCAUCAUAUCCUGUGGCUAUAAUAUCUUUCGUUAUCUGAGUGCUACUCCAAAUAUUUGGUUGGCGCAUCAUCAUCAUCAUCAUCACGGUGAUGAUCGAGAAAGCCAAGCUGCCGAGUCGGUUCGGAUGCAUGGGAAACUAAGAACCGAGGCACGGGAAACGACGGGAUGAGAAGAGUGGCGUUGGUUGCUGGACCACAGGCUUGGUAUUAUGACAGAGUCGGUCUGAGCACUUUUUUGGGCUCUACCAUAUUUCUAAGACUUGGUACUUUCCAUGGAGUUGUUGUCACAGUGAUCCCAACAACAUACUGUUCAUUGACAUAUAUAUAUCAGGUAAUGGAUAACCCAACCUCAAGAGAGAGAGA